ensembl:snRNA U6 U6 spliceosomal RNA
GUGCUGGCUUCGGCAGCACAUAUACUAAAAAUUGGAAUGAUACGGAGAAGAUUAGCAUGGCCCCUGCACAAGAAUGACACACAAAUUCAUGAAGUGUUCCAUAUUAAA